CACCUCUAGCAUAASAAGUAUUAGAGGCCCUGCCUGCCCGGUGACCAUUAGGUUAAACGGCCGCGGUAUCCUGACCGUGCAAAGGUAGCAUAAUCACUUGUUCUUUAAAUAAGGACUGGUAUGAAUGGCUUGACGAGGGUUUAACUGUCUCUUGCUUACAGUCAAUGAAAUUGACCUCCCCGUGAAGAGGCGGGGAUAAAACAAUAAGACGAGAAGACCCUAUGGAGCUUAAAUUCAUUAAUUCAUUUUUAUAUUAUUAAUCUAUAAGAGACAAAAAACAAACUAUGAAUUAACAAUUUCGGUUGGGGUGACCUCGGAGUAAAAAGAAACCUCCGAAUGAUAUUAACCUAGACACACAAGUCAAAGUUUUCAUCAUAAAUUGACCCAGUAACUAUCUGAUCAACGAACCAAGUUACCCUAGGGAUAACAGCGCAAUCCUAUUCUAGAGUCCAUAUCGACAAUAGGGUUUACGACCUCGAUGUUGGAUCAGGACCCCCAAAUGGUGCAACCGCUAUUUAAGGUUCGUUUGUUCAACGAUUAAAGUCCU
rnacentral:rRNA from 1 species